rnacentral:misc_RNA from 1 species
GAACGCACAUUGCGCCCGCUAGUAUUCUGGCGGGCAUGCCUGUCUGAGCGUCAUUUCAACCCUCAUCCCCGGCUUCGUGUCGGGGGUGGUGUUGGGGAUCGGCCUCCCGGUUGCGGGCGGCCGGCCCCGAAAUAGAGUGGCGACCACGCCGUAGCCUCCUCUGCGUAGUAGUGAAAACCUCGCAGGCGGAGAGCGGUGCGGCCUGCCGUUAAACCCCCCAACUCUUUUAAGGUUGACCUCAGAUCAGGUAGGAAUACCCGCUGAACUUAAG